AGGGGAGGUCAAAGCCUUCUGUGACCUCACAUCAGAAGGCACAGUGUCACUUCCGCUCAGCAUCGUUCUACUGGUCACGAGUGAGUCCUUGGUCCACUUAGAGCCAAGGGGACAAGACAGAGUCUUCAUAUCCCAGUGGAAGAAGUGUCAGGUUCACAUUGAAGAAAACCACGUGGGAUGGGAGAGACUGUGGUCCUCUUAGAAAACAAGGGAGAAGCCAAGGAGAAUGUGCUCAGGCUCCAUCUGGGAAGACAAGGUCCCCACUGGAUGGCUGGAACCUCUGUCCCCAGCACCGGGAGCACCUCCAGAGUGCACAGAAGGGCUGGCCGGGCGAUGCUGAGCUGCGCCCCUCGGCAUUGGCUUCCAGCAGGAGCGGCUUCUCACUCCACUUGGGGGCUGUCUCCAUGAGAGCCAUCUCCAGCCCAGGGCUGAUAAUAUCUGGGGAGUCGGGAUCAUCACCUGACAAUGCGAGAAGCCCAGCGGGUAGCACUCAGAGCCCAGGAGUCUGGGAGAGUCUGACCCAGUCCGCGUCCAUCACAGGCAGAUCCAGAGUGCUGCUGUGCCUCGAUGUGGUGACUUAGGAGAAGCAAACUGGAUGUUGGAACAGCUUGGCGUGGACACGCCCUGGAAGCCGAGGGCCCUGAGAGGGGGCCGCCUGGGCUGAGGAUGCUGGCGGACCUGGGCCCGGCUUUACUCCAGGUCCUGCAAUCUCUGCCAGCCGGGGAAGGACAGUGUGGGGACCCUCAAUGGGGCGAGGCUGUCACUGCCUCCUCUGGUUUGGGCACUCUGCCAUUUUGAGAUGAGGAAGGGAACGGAGGGACGCGGGGUGGAGACAUGUGGGAUCCCUUGGGCCCAGGACCCUGCAGAUCACGGAAGGACCUGCGAGGCUGCCUGCCAACUCUCGGUCAUGCUUUGGUGCCAGUCAGAGAGCUGAGAAUAAACCUGACCUUUCAGGCAGUUUAUCCAGACCCAAGGGACCAGCGCAUGGUGUGAGCUCGUGAGAGAGAAGCUGUACUGGGAUGGAAAGAACCUGCCCCAAGAAGAAACCCCAAAGCUGAGGCCCAGCCACCCUGCACCUGUGUGGAGACUGAAAGUGUACCUUUUCUUUACCCAGAAAAAAAAUCUGCACGUGCAACCCCAGGGUUAGCGGUGGUCAUCUCCAAGGGAUGCUGUGUUCUCUAUUUUGCCAGGC
rnacentral:lncRNA from 1 species